rnacentral:rRNA from 1 species
GAUGAACGCUAGCGGCAGGCUUAAUACAUGCAAGUCGUGGGGCAGCACAGUCCGCCGAAAGGCGGAUGGGUGGCGACCGGCAAACGGGUGCGGAACACGUACGCAACCUUCCUACAGGCGGGGAAUAGCCCAGAGAAAUUUGGAUUAAUACCCCAUAAAAUUUUAAGAUGGCAUCAUCUUAUUAUUAAAGCUUCGGCACCUGAAGAUGGGCGUGCGGCUGAUUAGGUAGNGGCGGGGUAACGGCCCACCAAGCCUGCGAUCAGUAGCUGAUGUGAGAGCAUGAUCAGCCACACGGGCACUGAGACACGGGCCCGACUCCUAGGGAGCAGCAGUAAGGAUAUUGGUCAAUGGACGCAAGUCUGAACCAGCCAUGCCGCGUGGAGGAU